rnacentral:misc_RNA from 1 species
GCAGCUAGUCUUGGUCAGGUGUUUGAUUUAUGUUUAGUUGUUGGACUUUCUUGGUCAAAAAUUGAGCUCACCAUAAAAAACUUUCUUAAUUUUAAUUCUUCAUUUAUUUGUUUUUAAAAUAUGAUGAUAUCAUGAUACGUGUCGUGUGAUAUUAAAAGAAGCACUAAGAAGAAUAACUAAUACGAAAUGCUCAUUUAGGUGCACCAAUUUGAUAUUGGCUCCAUAACUCUUAACAAUUGGAAACGUUUGAGCCUUGAGACUUUGAAACUUUUUUCUUUGAGUAAUAUCUUUGUCAAAAAUAGGUCUUUUUUUUCCUGAUCA